ACUGGCACUUCGUUAUAAAUUUCCUUAUACAGCUGGAGGGAACAUCAAACAUCCGUGUGGUCGUCGAGCUGUUAAGAGAGUUAACGAAUGAAUUCAAUGUAUUCAAGGCAUAUGAUGUACUUCAACGGCUCGCCGGACACGCCGACUUCGAUUCCGUCUACGAAAUACUUC
rnacentral:lncRNA from 1 species